AAUAUUUAUGAGCAUAUAAGCGAAAAAACUUAAGUACAAGGAUUACUUAAGAAAACUGUGACCGAUUUUAGAAUUUUUUACAGGCUAAACUGCCCUAUUGUUAUUUUUUAUCUAAAUACACACAAAUUGGUACCUAAUAAAAGUUUUUAGAGAUACAGUGAAGACAUAUCAAAAUUUCAUAAAAGGCAACUGGGGAAGAUUUACCUGCCCCCCUCCUCCCUCGUUUUGUAAGUAUUUAGACAAAAACUAAUAUUUUCGAUUGAAUGCUUACAAAAUUUAAAUGCUUUUAAACCAGCAUUAAAAUAAGUCUUAUAAUAGAGAACAAUAGCCUUAGAGAAAACUAUAGUCUUGAUUCUUAAAGAGAGCAACAAAAGGAAGUUGUAUUAGGGGCGUCAAUGGUGUAUAUAUUAGAAGGGGACGUAUUUGCUUGGCGUGUUGCAAAACUACUUUUAAGUUUUUUUUUUUUGUAUAGUUAAUAUUUUAUUUUUAAUUAGAUUAAUCAAGAUAUUAGAUUUUAAUAGCAUAGCAUUCUGCACGACUUGAAUCUCUGCAUUUUUGUCUACAAAUUGAUUUUGUAAUAUUGCUGUUAGAGAAGACAACUAUUCUGGGCUGACACUAGUUACUUUUUCAAAUAAAGCAUUUUUGUGGCAACUUCAUUUGCCAAUAUAGAUAACCUCUGUUUAAGGACUUUUUUUCUUGAAGUCAGUUAUUCAUUUUUCAACUUGGGGAAUAGUAGUUGUGAAUCAAAAGUUGAAAUACCAGAAUUUGAAAAGGAAUCAGCACAUGAUUUAGCUGAGCCUAUGGUUCAAUGGGGGUUAAGUAAUGCAUAGAAUUGGAUGCAAUGUCAGGUGCAAAGAAGUGGAUUGCAAUGUCAGUUGCUGAAAAUCCAUUUUGAAUAUACAAAUAAAUAACGUAGCUGAUAAGAAGUCAAAUUUUCAGAAAUAGGCAGUUCGUUGUAAGUGGACUGGAGAUAAUUCAAAAUAACACUUUUACAUUUUCUUCAAAACUUGAAGUUCAAUUGCAAAAAAUCUUUCCACAUAAAGUAUAACAAUAAGGCUUACAUUAACAUGUUGAAGAUAGUUACAUCAAAGUUUCAUCGAUAAAAGAUUUUAUUUGUGAUGAUUAAUGUGCCACCACAUAAAUGUAGCAAAUAUUAAUGAAGCUAUGGCAAUAAAUAUAAUGUUGACACAAAAAUACCAAAUCUCAAGUUAAAUGGUUCAUCUAAUUCUGAAGCUGCUGUAAAGUAAAUUAAAUAUUUAAUCAUCAAAUGUCAAAUCUCAAGACGUGAUACUGGGAGUGGACUUUUAGCUCAUAAUAAUCCAAGUACCACAUGUUCUAUUUUUAAAAUGGGUGCGAGCACUAAAAAAGAAAAUAAUGUUACAAAUUGAAGCAGAAGUUUAUAACGAAUUAUUUUGACGAUUGGAUAUUAAUCGUAGAAAAAGCACCAUUGUCGAAUGGUAUCAAUCAAAUCAUUGUAUAAUAAUUGUUUUUUGUCGCGUAAAUAUAUUUUGAAAUUUAA